rnacentral:rRNA from 1 species
AUUGAACGCUGGCGGCAGGCCUAACACAUGCAAGUCGAGCGGAGCGGCUGACGGGUGAGUAAUUACUAGGUAUCUGCCUGGUCCUGGGAGAUGACGUCAGGAAACGGACACUAGUACAACAUCCUAUCAGAUGAGCCUAUGUCGGAUUGGCUAGUUGGUGGGGUAAGGGCCUACCAAGGCGACGAUCCGUAGCUGGUCUGAGCGGAUGAUCAGUCACACGGGAACUGAGACACGGUCCAGACUCCUACGGGAGGCAGCAGUGGGGAAUAUUGGACAAUGGGAGAAAGCCUGAUCCAGCCAUGCCGCGUGUGUGAAGAAGGUCUUCGGAUUGUAAAGCACUUUAAGUUGGGAGGCGUUACCCGCAGAAGAAGCACCGGCUAACUUCGUGCCAGCAGCCGCGGUAAUUC